UUUAGAGUUUUAGUAAACAGUAAUUACGAAACUAUAAUAAUUCCAGGAAUUCCACCUGACAGUUCCACGACAACAACGCCAUCCCAAGAAAUACCUUUAACAUCUCAACAAAAUAACAAAACAGAUAUUAUCAUUGCUGCAAUCUUAGUUCCAGUAUCAGUUGCACUUAUUAUAUUUGUUGUCAUUGUUGUUGUCUUAAAACUACGAAAAAAAAAGAGAAUUAAACAUAAGUUAUGGAAUACAAGUCAUUACUC
rnacentral:lncRNA from 1 species